AGCUGAGACUAAGGUUAUGUCCCCGCCUCUGUCCUUCGGGAGGAGGUACAGUGUGAAGGACAUUCAAGCACACCCUGGCUAACUUCUCACUCAGUCUGCGAUACAAAGGAGGAAGAUUUCCUGGGCCAGAAAUCCGAGCAACAAUGCCAGAGCGCUUGUCUUCAUGCAAAAGAACGCAUCACUAAGUAUGGAGUUCCAGACGCCCAGGAGCAGCGAGCGAAGCAGAGCUUUGGCCCACGGGCUGGCUUCCUAGCACUCCCCAGCCACGCCCGCGUUUAUGGGUAGGAUUUACUCUAUGUUAUGGGCAUUCACUGAUACUGUGCCCUGAGACUGCUUUGUCAACUGUCCAGCAUGCCACAUCCGUGAUGCAAUAUUUGAAGUCGCGCCCAAACACUAGGCAAAUCCUAUUUCUCUGCAAGAAGUGCUUGUAAAUCGAAAAGUCAUCACCCUCCUCAAGGAAGCAUGCCUUGUGGAAAUGGGAAUUGCAUCAAAGCUGGUUGAUCGGACUUCAAAGGAUGUCCUUGUUCUAAAGAUUCUUUUUCUAUUAUGAACUCUUUUUUUUUUUUUUUGGUCUCUUCAAGGGAAGAUGUGAGAGAAUUCUCUGAAUACUUCAAGCUGCAAGCCCCUAGCUAACUUCAUUACCAUAUUGAUUAUUUCAUCAAGAAAUAUUCGAGGGAGAUUAAUUUCCCUGCAUAACGUCCUCAGUUCUCCUUCAGUUUUCACAUGACAGCAUAACCCUCGUCUCCCCUCCUCCUGCCCCUCUUGUACUUUUUCAAACUGCAGGAAUGAAUUGUAAAAAGGAAGGUCCUCGUUGCCUCCCUCUCUUCCAAGACAUUUUUCCCCCCUAAUGCUUUCCUUCCCCCCUCCGUAAGAAUUAAAAGUGAUAUUUCUUUUGACAGCUGGUAACUAAUCCCACCUUAGCAGGAAAGAGAACAGGAAGCCAGCAAAGGAAUUUUCCAUUCCUAUGUCUCUUUUAAUUUUUUUCCACAUCAGGUACUUUUCAAAACCUAGACAUUUGCAGUGAAGUCUGUAUGUCUUCUUGUUUUGUCUACUAGAGCCACGUGUUCUGAGCUUCUCCUGUGCUGGCCGAGGACAAACCUGACUGAGCUGGUGUUUGUCUUUGGAGGAGGGAGAAUUUGAGAACUUUCGAGUCUCCAAAGGGAACAUAACUGAAAUGUGAUGCCUUUGCUUAUGCAAACGGGAUUUUUCCUGUUGUAAAGAUAAAGUUCACACAGCUAGUCCCUCAAACCGCAAGUCAAAAUGCUUCAUACUGUAAGGAGAACGACAGCUCUGACUCUUAUAAAAUAAGUUUCUGCUCAACCAUCUUUUGCCCGGCAGACAGCUUGGCUUCCUGCCUCCUCCCCUCUCUCCUUUCCUUCAUUUCUUCCUUUCUUUUCUGUUUAAAUGCUUAAAGGGCUCUGUGUAGUUUACGUUUUGAGUCUUCCAGAGUGAACAGGAUAAGAAGUUGGGGGGAAAAGGAAAAAAAAGAAUAAUCAGCUUGAAUGUGUUUCCUCAAGGAGCAAUCCACUUUAGCAUUUUCAUAACAUAAUGCACACUGUUUCAAUAAAUGAUUUUUUUAAACGAUGAAA